GUAACGGAGGCGCUAAAAGGUUCUCUCAGUACGGUCGGAAAUCGUACGUAGAGUGUAAAGGCAAAAGAGAGCUUGAUUGCAAGACAUACAGGUCGAGCAAGGAUGAAAAUCGGACUUAGUGAUCCGGGGGUUCUGCGUGGAAGGGCCAUCGCUCAACGGAUAAAAGCUACCCUGGGGAUAACAGGCUUAUCUCCCCCAAGAGUCCACAUCGACGGGGAGGUUUGGCACCUCGAUGUCGGCUCAUCACAUCCUGGGGCUGUAGUAGGUCCCAAGGGUUGGGCUGUUCGCCCAUUAAAGUGGUACGCGAGCUGGGUUCAGAACGUCGUGAGACAGUUCGGUCCCUAUCCGUCGCAGGCGUAGGAAAUUUGAGAAGACCUGUCCUUAGUACGAGAGGACCGGGAUGGACGUACCUCUGGUGUACCAGUUGU
rnacentral:rRNA from 1 species